GCGAGGAACUCGGCGCACCUGUGGUGGGUGGCCCCGUGAGGAGGCGGGCGGUCGCGCGAGCCCAAGAGCAGAGCGCGGCGCAGACUAGCGAGCCUGGGGGUCCUAGGCCCCGCCAUUUCUUCAGUAAAAUUGAGUAGACGCGGUCCUUGUUGGGAUUUGGCACCGCCCUGGUGGGUUUAGGACCUUGCUCUCUGCCUGACGCACCUCAGUCAGGGGUGACUUCUUCCUUUUGCACCGUCGGUCUGGAGGGGCACCCACGUCCCCUUGUACUCCAAAGAGGGAAGUGUGCACCCAUCCUGUUGCGGCUGUGGUCGAGCCGAAGAAUUCUGUCGUCCUUGGCAACGUCUUGCACAUUUUGGUAGUGCAAACAAAGGGAAUGGGCAGUGGAAAGUUCUAAGAAAGACCAUCGCUGCUGCUCUGAUUCCCUCCACAUCCGUGGCUGCUUGCCUUUCUGAUCCUGCCCAGCUUUGAGCUCCUGAGAGAGUGGUCUUACCUUCUUCAUUAACACUGAGCACCAGGCCUGUCCCGGAGUGAAUUCUCAGUGCUUCAGAGGUGUGAAAGUAAAACAAAGAAGACCAGCUUUCUGGAUAUUCACAAAUGCCUCCACCGCCUGACAUGUAGGGGAUCCACUUAUGAAGAUAUUUCCAUGAGGCCACAAGCGUGUUGUGCUUCACCUGGACCGAAUACUGGUGCGGGCCAGUGAUCGUCUUCCUGUUGCAGCGCCACCUCAAGGAAACGGGACGGAUGGGUUGACAAAAGACCCCAUGGAAGAGCAAGUGUGUUGUGAUGCUUUCAAGAUGACAUGAUCAAUAACACAACUGGAGGCUAAAGCCACCACCAAAUGGAAGAAAUUAACUAUUUGAUGAUCUUAAGAACAGCCCCCGGACCUCUGGUACUUAAAGAUUGAUCACUAUCAACCAAUCAGAGAAUUGUGCGCAGCUGAUCCCAAUCCUGGGCUGCCCCUCCCUCACCGAGCCUUUAAAAAGGCUCAGCUGAACCCUUUCAAGGAGUUCAGGGUUUCCGGGGCAUGCGCCAUCCUCUCUCCUUGCUUGGCCCAGCAGUAAAUAUUUCUUUGCUCCAAACGCAAGCGUUUUGGUAUUUUUUGGCCUCACUGUGUGUUAGGCACACAAACUUGCAUUCAGUAACAAUUUUGCUGAAGGCAGCCUAGGGGUCUGAGCCCGCGGCAGUUCAACCCUGGCCAGAGGCAGCAGCCCCUUCCCUGGGUCCCAGCAACCGCAAGAGCUCAGUUCACUCCAGGGAACUGGGAAAGACUCGCCCGGGCAGGAGCCGGCCGCCCCACGUAUGAGGCUGUUUGGAACCAAGAAACUUCCAGCGCUGCUGAGGGACCACGUUCCGAGUCACUGCAAGCGCCUACCAGGUAGCUGUUUCGUAACUAUUUGCUGAAAACAAUUAUAACAGCUGAACUGCCUCUGAGGAGCAAAGAGAAGCUUACGUAUCCUGUGAGAAAUGCUAUUCCCGUGUAAGUGACAAUAAUGAGCAAGGAGGUGGCACAGGGGACUGAAAUGAGGGGAAAAAACCGUUACAACUUCUGACUGUGUGGCUAUCGAGUCAACAUCCACAUUAGAAAGCUCAUGCCCUGCUGGAUGUGCUUUGUGAUUCCUGGUACGUGGGACAGAACAGGAAGCUACAUCUGAUGCGGCUAGCAUCGGAGCCAGGGUCUGAAGGAGGAAAACGUUUGGCAGGAGAAGCUGCUGCAGCCCAAAAGGUCAAAAUCAAAACUGGAGCUGAAGGUGAACGGAACACAGGAAGGACAAGUACAGUUGAGAAGGAGGUCAGACCAAGAAAUCAAGCCGCAGAUAUUUACAGCUUGUCUACAGCACGCCCUUCACCACCUAUGAAAAAUACACAAGGUGCCAUUCCUGCUAGCAAA